AUACGUAGGAGACAAGCGUUAUCCGGAUUUACUGGGCGUAAAGGGCGUGUAGGCGGUCUUGCAAGUCAGAAGUGAAAUUCCUGAGCUCAACUCGGGCGCUGCUUCUGAAACUGCAGGACUUGAGUGCUGGAGGGGAUAGCGGAAUUCCUAGUGGAGCGGCACAAUGCGCAGAUAUUAGGAAGAAAACCAGAGGCGAAGGCGGCUUACUGGACUGUAACUGACGUUAAGGCUCGAAGGCGUGGGGAGCAAACAGGAUUAGAUACCCUGGUAGUCCACGCGGUAAACGAUGAUCACUAGGUGUCGGCGGCCAUAGGCGGUCGGUGCCGCAGCAAACGCAAUAAGUGAUCCACCUGGGGAGUACGUUCGCAAGAAUGAAACUCAAAUGAAUUGACGGGG
rnacentral:rRNA from 1 species